GGAGGAAAUUGGCCUCAGUUUGGUUCAGUUUUCUGGAGGGGUUAGACGACUUCUCGGUGAGAGCAUCUACACAGGUAUUCUUCUGCUAUCCCUGGUAACCGUGCCAUACAUUUUCCUUCAGAAAUACCAGACUAUACAGAUGAUUUGUCUUAAGGCUUUUGAGAUGGAAGAUACUUUGGAAAUCGGUAAGGCCCAUGUUCUCACAGAGAAAUGGCAUGGUGAGGCCUGGAUACUCAUCUGAAAAUGAAAAACAUCGGGAUUGCCAAAUCCAGGAAAAUAAGCUAUGCCAUGUGGAAAACGAGAGAUAAAGCAGAAUGCUUUGAUUAAUAUUAUGCAACUCUGGCAAUUUCAUUCACUGUAUUAUUUUUAGUCACAGCAGUACACAAUGUAUGCGUAUGAUCUGCAGGGAGAUGUAUUUUAAAUUACUCUGGAUGGAAGAACCUGGAGCGUAGUUCACAGAGCUAUCUCAAUUCACCUUUGGAUUACAUCUCCGAAACUUCAAAGUAGUAAAUAUGAUCCUACAAACUUCCAGAAACAGCAAUUAAAGUUGUGAUUACUUCCAUGCACACUCAUUUUGGUCACACGUUCUGGAAGAGUUUUUCUCCCAUGCAUGUACUGACUUCCUGCUGCCUGCAUCCCAGCUCUGGGGCGCUGCUGAAGCUGAGAACCUGAGCACCAGAAGGUAAAAUGUCAUUUUUCAUGAAAAGUGUAAAACGAAGAACAUACACAGGGCAAUUCUUCCUGCUUUGUGCUCCCAGUUGUUGGUACCAGCAAGUUAAAGACCACCCAUGUUGGAGCUACAUCUGUCUUCAGUCGCACUAGAUGAAUCCAAGUGAGCUACACUGUGUGAGCAGGCAUUUUGGUGUGAACAAGCAUUGCCUUUGGAAGGUCUGCUUAAUAGUUUCAUAGAGCAUCCUCUGUAUUCUGGGUUAUGGGAUGCAACAAAUUAUUGUUUCUGAUUCACCUUCUGUUUUAAAGGACACUCAUUUGUACCCUCUCUGUUGUGUCUGUUUUAAUCAAAUCUUCACCAUAGUGAAAUACUGGAGGGAAAUAUGGCAAGGAAUCUAUUCCAAAGCUCUCAGGAAACCAUUUCCUAUAUUCCAUCAGCUCCAACUUCCUUUCCUGCACUUUUUCCAGUCGCUUUCAGGAUGAAGUGACCAAAGCCAUAUGCAGUGUUCUGGAGUUUACGAACUUAUUUGUCCAAUCGAAAAUUCACCUAAUGCCAUUAAAACAGAAUCUGCAGUGAAAUGCAAAUUUUGAUUCUGAAAAGUAGGAGUGGAUUUAUUUCAAUGUAAAUGCUUUAAAUUCCCUUGUAAACCCUUUUUGAAAAUGUCAUAUGGUUUUAUUAACUACUUUUAAAGCAAAUGUUUGAAGACAUUAUCUGCCAUAAUAUUUAUAGGCGAUACCUACGUCUCUUAAAAAAUAAUGCUGGUACUCCACGACUUGCAAACACUGAGUCAGACCUCUGCAAAGAUGGGUUUUUUUUUCCACUGUGAAAAACCUGCUCUGAGGAUUUCCUUGAUGCAAGCCCUGUUGGGAUCUCUGGCAUGUCGGUGUAGCAAAUGCUAUCACUGCUGAUCUGUGACCUGCUGGAUGGAAGAGCGGGAUAGCUCUGAACUGACAAAAUGGACAAGACAGACAUCUGCCAUGGUGCCUAGGAGGAGUCAGGUAUUUAACACCAGAAAAGCUCCAUAGGUGCCUAUCUCUACAAUACUGGAAGUCCCUAAAACAUUAAAAUCCAGACCUUGAUACGUGUGUUUCUUUUGUAUGAGGUGUGAUGUGGAUAAUAACACCUCCCCACCUCAGAGGGGAGCCUAUAGACGCACUCUUUUAAGACUGAGCUGGGUAAAAAGCAGAGCAUGAUGCUGCAAUACAGUGUCAGCUGUACUUAUGUCUGACCACUGCAGGACUGUCUCAAGGUGUGUUUCCUUUAAUAAGAUCUGUGAACAAUCACUAGCAUUUAAUUGGAACUGAGAUAAAGCUUUU
rnacentral:lncRNA from 7 species